UACGGGGGGGGCAAGCGUUGUUCGGAAUUACUGGGCGUAAAGGGCUCGUAGGCGGCCAACUAAGUCAGACGUGAAAUCCCUCGGCUUAACCGAGGAACUGCCGUCCAAACUGCUUCGCUUGAGACCGGGAGAGGUGAGUGGAAUUCCCAGUGUAGCGGUGAAAUGCGUAGAUAUUGGGAGGAACACCAGUGGCGAAGGCGGCUCACUGGACCGGUACUGACGCUGAUGCGCGAAAGCGUGGGGAGCAAACGGG
rnacentral:rRNA from 1 species